rnacentral:lncRNA from 1 species
AACCAUUUUCUCCAGCAAUGCCAUAGAGAUUACCCAAAGCACAGUCCUGCAGGGAAUGGAGCAGGGAGAAGACUGCCACCAUUGACUGAAAAAUAUUCUUAUUAGAGGCUGGCUGCCUUACCUCCCCGGGGACAACACCGGGAUGCUUCUCAUCCUACAGAGCUCCUUCUACCAUCACACUGAGGCGAGGCUCCUACAUUCUCAUCCGGGUUCUUCCCCAGUCUUUUCCCCGCUUCCCUGGCUCCUUUAAAGACCAUACCUGAGAGCACUCACUCAAGAAAUCACUUGCAUAAGAAUUUUGUCUCUGACUCUGCUUCUAGGAAACCCUAAGACAUCGAGUAAGAACCAAGUCUAAGCACAGAACAUCACACCUGGAUAUAAUUGAUGGCAGCCCCUUCCUUGUGACAUGCACGUCUCUUAUUUUCACCCAUUCCUGCUAUUUGGUCAUCAAAGAACAAGGGCAUCCAUGGGGUUUAAGGAUUCAGUGUCUAUUGAUAGGCAGACAGCCCACAUCUUACAUUACUAGCAGGAAUUAAGCUUAAGAAACAAUUGCUAUAGAAAAUACACCUUAGGAAUAUAUGUACUUGCAUAAAGUUUUUAGGAAGGCAUUACUGAUUUCCAACUAAGGACCAAGUUCAAUCAUUUAAUUGUAGGUUGGAUGGACUUAGGGGUAGGGCAGAUGUAUAUUUAACUAUUGGGAAGCUUGAUCAAACAUUGAGGAGUCCCAGAUACAAAGUUUUGUACAAGUCCCUUGCAUUUGAACAGUUUGUCCAAACUAGAUUUCCAAGUCUGAAUUCCACUCAGAAAUGUAAAUAUGUGUGCUAAUUUUGUAGCAAAGCCUGUAAAUAGUUUAAGUACCAGACUCUAAGCUCCUUGAACACUGAACUUGUUUCAGGUGUGUGUCAAUCCACUUGAAAUGGAGAUCUACUAUUUAGAUCUGAUCAUGCUAAUUUCCCAAACUUCUGUAUCAACUAUCAUUAUUAAUAGUGAUAUUUUAAAAGCAUUUGCAUUAAAGUUAGGAAACAGGAAAGGAUGCCCAUGAUUAUAGCUUCUAUUUCACAUAGUUUUGCAGAACCGAACUAAAAUAAUCAAACAAAAAAGGCAAAGGGAAGUAUAAGGAUUGGAAAGAAAUAUCAUGAUCUAAAGUCAGCAAGAUCAUCCCAAAAGGAAACUUGAGAGAAAAAUGACAAAAUUAUUAGAAUAAUGAUAGAGUAGUCUCUUAGGCCAGCAGUAAUCAAACUAAAAACAAGAUAACUAUACAAGUGUGAAUAUUUGCACAAUAUGUGGUUGCGUUACCCAGUGCUCCCUUUUACUAGCUCUCAGGACCUAGAUACAUUAUUUAAUCUUUCUGAUUCCCACUUCCCUCAUCUGUAAAACAGCUUUUAAAAUAUUAAGCUCACAUAUUUAUGAGUUCAUAUACUUACAUCUAUACAGCCCCUAGCAUGAAAUCUGGCCUUUAGUCCACUGGCUAAAGGAGGUAAAGAGUGAAGGCUUCCAAAUUCUCUACAGCAAGUUACUUUAAUG